GAUGAACGCUGGCGGCGUGCCUAAUACAUGCAAGUCGAGCGAACAGACGAGGAGCUUGCUCCUCUGACGUUAGCGGCGGACGGGUGAGUAACACGUGGAUAACCUACCUAUAAGACUGGGAUAACUUCGGGAAACCGGAGCUAAUACCGGAUAAUAUAUUGAACCGCAUGGUUCAAUAGUGAAAGACGGUUUUGCUGUCACUUAUAGAUGGAUCCGCGCCGCAUUAGCUAGUUGGUAAGGUAACGGCUUACCAAGGCAACGAUGCGUAGCCGACCUGAGAGGGUGAUCCGCCACACUGGAACUGAGACACGGUCCAGACACCUACGGGAGGCAGCAGUAGGGAAUCUUCCGCAAUGGGCGAAAGCUUGACGGAGCAACGCCGCGUGAGUGAUGAAGGUCUUCGGAUCGUAAAACUCUGUUAUUAGGGAAGAACAAAUGUGUAAGUACCUAUGCACGUCUUGACGGUACCUAAUCAGAAAGCCACGGCUAACUACGUG
rnacentral:rRNA from 1 species